AGAGUUUGAUCCUGGCUCAGAACGAACGCUGGCGGCGUGCUUAACACAUGCAAGUCGAACGAGAAAGUUUCCUUCGGGAAGCGAGUAGAGUGGCGCACGGGUGAGUAACGCGUAGGUAAUCUAUCCUAAUAUUUGGGAUAACAUCGGGAAACUGGUGCUAAUACCGGAUACCCUUCAUUUCUGCCGGGUUAUGGAGGAAAGGUGGCCUCUUCAUGAAAGCUACCGUAUAAGGAUGAGCCUGCGUACCAUUAGCUAGUAGGUGGGGUAAUGGCCCACCUAGGCUACGAUGGUUAGCGGGUCUGAGAGGAUGAUCCGCCACACUGGAACUGGAACACGGACCAGACUCCUACGGGAGGCAGCAGUGAGGAAUAUUGCGCAAUGGGGGAAACCCUGACGCAGCGACGCCGCGUGAGUGAGGAAGGUUUUCGGAUCGUAAAGCUCUGUCAGAAGGGAAGAAGUGUUAUAUGGUUAAUACCCGUAUAAUUUGACGGUACCUUCAGAGGAAGCACCGGCUAACUCCGUGCCAGCAGCCGCGGUAAUACGGAGGGUGCAAGCGUUGUUCGGAAUUACUGGGCGUAAAGGGCGCGUAGGCGGCCUGCUAAGUCAGAUGUGAAAGUCCACGGCUCAACCGUGGAAGUGCAUUUGAAACUGUCAGGCUUGAGUAUCGGAGGGGAAAGUGGAAUUCCCGGUGUAGAGGUGAAAUUCGUAGAGAUCGGGAGGAACACCGGUGGCGAAAGCGACUUUCUGGACGAAUACUGACGCUGAGGCGCGAAAGCGUGGGGAGCAAACAGGAUUAGAUACCCUGGUAGUCCACGCCGUAAACGAUGUGAACUAGGGAUAGGGGGUGUUGAUCCCUCCUGUCCCGGAGCUAACGCAUUU
rnacentral:rRNA from 1 species